GGUCCCAUAGUUCAAUGGAUAGAAUUUCAGAUUCCGGUUCUGAAGAUGUGGGUUCGAGUCCCGCUGGGAUCA
rnacentral:tRNA from 1 species